rnacentral:rRNA from 1 species
GAUCCUGGCUCAGGAUGAACGCUAGCUACAGGCUUAACACAUGCAAGUCGAGGGGCGAUCAGGGAAGAAAGCUUGCUUUCUUUGCUGGCGACCGACGCACGGGUGAGUAACACGUAUCCAACCUGCCCUUUACUCGGGGAUAGCCUUUCGAAAGAAAGAUUAAUACCCGAUGGCAUAAUGAUUCCGCAUGGUUUCAUUAUUAAAGGAUUCCGGUAAAGGAUGGGGAUGCGUUCCGAUUAGGUUGUUGGUGAGGUAACGG